rnacentral:rRNA from 1 species
UACGUAGGAGGCAAGCGUUAUCCGGAAUGACUGGGCGUAAAGGGUGCGUAGGUGGUUUGGCAAGUUAGUAGCGUAAUUCCGGGGCUCAACUUCGGAACUACUACUAAAACUGCUGGGCUUGAGUGCAGGAGGGGCAUAUGGAAUUCCUAGUGUAGCGGUGAAAUGCGUAGAGAUCAGGAGGAACACCGGCGGCGAAGGCGGCUUACUGGACUGUAACUGACGUUGAGGCUCGAAAGCGUGGGGAGCAAACAGG